rnacentral:rRNA from 1 species
UCGAGAAUAUUUGGCAAUGGGCGAAAGCCUGACCAUGCGACGCCGCGUGCUGGACGAAGUCCUUCGGGACGUAAACAGCUUUUGCGCGUGAGGAAGUAAUUGACGUUAGCGCGCGAAUAAGGGGCUCCUAACUCUGUGCCAGCAGGAGCGGUAAUACAGAGGCCCCGAGCAUUAUCCGGAAUCACUGGGCGUAAAGGGUGCGUAGGCGGUCGUGUUAGUCCUUCGUGAAAGAUUUCGGGCUUAACCCGGAAGGCGCGCGGGAAACGGCACGACUCAGAGGACGCGAGAGGUCAAGGGAACUCAUGGUGUAGGGGUGAAAUCCGUUGAUAUCAUGGGGAACACCAAAUGCGAAGGCACUUGACUGGCGCGCUCCUGACGCUGAAGCACGAAAGCGUGGGUAGCGAAUGGGAUUAGAUACCCCCGUAGUCC